CCGCGUGAGUGAUGAAGGCCUUCGGGUUGUAAAGCUCUUUUGGCGGGGACGAUGAUGACGGUACCCGCAGAAUAAGCCCCGGCUAACUUCGUGC
rnacentral:rRNA from 1 species